CUGUUGGAUCUCAUGCUCCCCAUCAUCGAGCUGCCGUUCCUCCUCCGACGCUGGUACAUCCUGAACAGGAUGACCUCAGACAUUUUAAUAUUGCUAAACGCCUGAAGUGCUUCAACGGGAGAAUUUAUGACACAACGAACACAGUCAAUCUCUCCGUUCAUUUCUCACUCUGUGUCCCUUUGACCCUCGCUCUAUAUUUGUUUUGUCAUGCAGCCGAGGCCUCUUUCACCUUGUCCUCUGGCCUGUCUGACGCAGAAACACCUUUCAUUUCCCUUCCUCACUUUCCUCUCGUUUAUUUUCUUUUCCUGGCUUUUUUCCUGUCUUCUCUUUUUAUUU